CACUCCUACGGGAGGCAGCAGUGGGGAAUAUUGCACAAUGGGCGCAAGCCUGAUGCAGCCAUGCCGCGUGUAUGAAGAAGGCCUUCGGGUUGUAAAGUACUUUCAGCGGGGAGGAAGGCAAUACGGUUAAUAACCGUGUUGAUUGACGUUACCCGCAGAAGAAGCACCGGCUAACUCCGUGCCAGCAGCCGCGGUAAUACGGAGGGUGCAAGCGUUAAUCGGAAUUACUGGGCGUAAAGCGCACGCAGGCGGUCUGUCAAGUCGGAUGUGAAAUCCCCGGGCUCAACCUGGGAACUGCAUUCGAAACUGGCAGGCUUGAGUCUUGUAGAGGGGGGUAGAAUUCCAGGUGUAGCGGUGAAAUGCGUAGAGAUCUGGAGGAAUACCGGUGGCGAAGGCGGCCCCCUGGACAAAGACUGACGCUCAGGUGCGAAAGCGUGGGGAGCAAACAGGAUUAGAUACCCGGGUAGUCCC
rnacentral:rRNA from 1 species